AAAUAAUAGUCAGAAAAUUGCUAGAAUUACCGUCCGAUUGUACAGUGGUGACAUUUGGUUUUCUAAAC
ensembl:snoRNA small nucleolar RNA SNORD65